AUCAAAAACUUUAGCUCGAUAGACUUAAUAGCUGCUGUAAAGCCAAAACAAACGCUGUCUAUUAAUUUCCUAUUAUCACUGUGAAGCUGCUUUGAAACAAUCUGUAUUGUAAGAAGCGCUAUAUAAAUGAAGAUGACUUGACCCUUGAAUCAAUUCUGCUCUGCUCUGAUUCUGGAGCUGAGAACUGAUGGCGCGGCUUGAUCUUUGGUUGACCAAUCAGCGGAAAGGGGCGUUUUAUUCCCGCCCAUGUAGAAAUCGAAUAUUCAAGCCGUUUAUCCAUUUUGGUUUUAUUGUUUUUCCUUUUGGUGGAUUAGAACAAAGUGUGAUUAAAACGAAAAUAAAAAUAUGAAAAAAACGACUCGAGAUUUGUUUAUUUAUGCUCACGAGGAGGGUCGAAUAUGUGAUAAAUGAAUGCUUUCUUCGUUUUUCCGUUUAGAAGACAAAAACAAAAAAACAAAUUAUACGAAGGUACACGGACCAUACUACUACUAGUACAAUGAACUUUAUUAUUUGAGUAAAACAAACUCAUUUCAUUUAAUCAAUUUCACUGUUCAGUUUUACAGUGUACAAGUGUAUAACUGGUGAUUACGGGAGAAAAAAAGUCUGAAUUUUUAUUUUUUUUAUUCUGUAGUGGAAACAAGCUUUCAAGCUUGUCAGUAUGUUGUUGCUGUUUUAACCAUUAUUUCCCCCUCUAAACGUUUACUUUUACUCCUUGUGAAUUACCUUGAUGGGCAUAGGAUUUUUGUGUUUAUCCCCUCCCAGAAUCUUAAUGAAAUGUUUUGCAUCUCUGAUGCCUUUUCAGAAACGUCCUUUUGAAAUAGCAAGAGGUUGUGAAUAAUUUCACCCUGAAGCUCUUACUCUGGUUUCACUAAGCUACUAGAGGCAAAUUGAUCGCUCUCGACGGGCUGAAAUCUUUGCAUUCUUUACGGAUUUUUCCCUCUUUCUGUGUUUGUAUGGGGGAAAUGAGAUUGCUUGCUAGGGUGAUGAGACUCCAAAUGGCUGUCAUUUCUCCUGGAAUCAGAUGAAAGUGGCCACGUUGCCAGCGGAGGAGCCCAGGGGCCGGGCAGGGAGGCAGAGCCAUCUUCUAUAACUCCUCAUCUGGGCUGAGUGAUGGAGCGCCAUUCGGUGAGGAGAAAUUCUCCUCCCCGUAUUCCUGUAAUCUUUGCCUGCUGUCUCCUGUGAAACGCACCACAGUAACCAUGGCAAUGCUGCACCUGAGCAGGAAAUAGCCACUCCAAACCCAGAGAAAUCAAAUCCUAGCCUUGUAGCCGAAUGGUGAUUUCUGUUAAUAGUUUGAAAUAUAUUGAUGCUGUUCCUUAAGCUUUAGAAGCAUUAGACAAGUACUAAUAGUAUUUUAUGUGAUGAUUAGUUUAAUCCAACUCACUAUAGUUUGCAGGGUAUUUGUAUUACAUUGUGUUUUUGUGUAUAUAUUCAGUAUUCAAUAUAAAACCAGGGAAAUUACAGUAUAUUGUUUCAACACCACAGCAAAAACAUACAAAAACACUACUGUUCAGUAAGAUUUUUUUAAAGAAAUUACUACUUUUAUUUAGCAAGGACACAUUGAAUUGACCAAAAGUGACAGUAAAGAGUUUUACAAUGUUACAAAAGACUUCUAUUUCAAAUAAAUGCUGUUAUUUUUUAACUUUCUAUUAAUCAAAUAAUCCUUUAAAAAAUCAUGGAUCAUAUCAGGGUAUCAUGGUUCCCACAGAAAAUAUUAAGCAGCACAACUGUUUUCAACAUUGAUAAUCUGAAAUGUUUCUUGAGCAGCAAAUCAUCAUAUUAGAAUGAUUUCUGAAGGAUCACGUGACACU